rnacentral:rRNA from 1 species
CUGGCGGCGUGCCUAACACAUGCAAGUCGAACGAGAAAGUGGAGCAAUCCAUGAGUAAAGUGGCGACCGGGUGAGUAACACGUGACUAACCUGCCUUCGAGUGGGGGAUAACCUCGGGAAACCGGGGCUAAUACCGCAUAAUGCCGAGAGGUUAAAGGAGCAAUUCGCUUGAAGAGGGGGUCGCGGCUGAUUAGCUAGUUGGCGGGGUAACGGCCCACCAAGGCGAUGAUCGGUAGCCGGCCUGAGAGGGCGCACGGCCACACUGGAACUGAAACACGGUCCAGACUCCUACGGGAGGCAGCAGUGGGGAAUUUUGCGCAAUGGGGGAAACCCUGACGCAGCAACGCCGCGUGGAGGAUGAAGUCCUUUGGGACGUAAACUCCUUUCGACCGGGACGAUAAUGACGGUACCGGUGGAAGAAGCCCCGGCUAACUUCGUGCCAGCAGCCGCGGUAAUACGAGGGGGGCAAGCGUUGUUCGGAAUUAUUGGGCGUAAAGGGCGCGUAGGCGGUGCGGUAAGUCACCUGUGAAACCUCUGGGCUUAACUCAGAGCCUGCAGGCGAAACUGCCGUGCUGGA